AGACUCUAACUCUCUGACCCUCAGCUUCCUAGUGGCCCUGCUGCAAGGACGUUCACAGGACUUAGCCUGAACUUUUCAAACCAUGUUGAAUAAAGUGAGAGUGGACAUCCUUGCCUUAUUUCUGAUCUUAGGGCUUAACUUGUCCUGCUGCCACAGACCAGGAGAAGCUGGACCUAACAGUAGUGUUUUCUAAUGGAACCAUUGGCAUAAUAAUAGAAAAUAAUUGGCACUUAGUGUUUGCUAUGUGCCAGGUGCUGUUCC